rnacentral:lncRNA from 1 species
GGGCGUUGAGCGUCGAUGACGCGUGUUUUGGGCUAGUUUUCUACUAUUUUUAUGAUCUGUUUUGGGGCUGAACCCAUUUUCUGUCAUUUUUCUACCCUAUUUAAAGACUUGAACGUCUUAUGGUUUGUAUCUUUUGAUGGCUCAAGCACAUAAACAAAUUUUUCACCCCUAUAGGGGCAGAUUUGGGGAUGUGAGAGCUCU